GGAGGUGCAGCUCAAGUGGUAAAGCGCAUGCCUGGCGUGCAUGAGGUUCUGGGUUCAACUCCCACUACCUCUU
rfam:Camelus ferus unplaced genomic scaffold scaffold407, whole genome shotgun sequence.